rnacentral:rRNA from 1 species
AUUGAACGCUGGCGGCAUGCUUUACACAUGCAAGUCGAACGGUAACAGGCCGCAAGGUGCUGACGAGUGGCGAACGGGUGAGUAAUGCAUCGGAACGUGCCCCGUCGUGGGGGAUAACUACUCGAAAGAGUAGCUAAUACCGCAUACGAUCUAUGGAUGAAAGCGGGGGACCGUAAGGCCUCGCGCGAUUGGUGCGGCCGAUGUCAGAUUAGGUAGUUGGUGGGGUAAAGGCUCACCAAGCCAACGAUCUGUAGCUGGUCUGAGAGGACGACCAGCCACACUGGGACUGAGACACGGCCCAGACUCCUACGGGAGGCAGCAGUGGGGAAUUUUGGACAAUGGGCGCAAGCCUGAUCCAGCAAUGCCGCGUGCAGGAAGAAGGCCUUCGGGUUGUAAACUGCUUUUGUACGGAACGAAACGGCUCUGGUUAAUACCCGGGGCUAAUGACGGUACCGUAAGAAUAAGCACCGGCUAACUACGUG